rnacentral:rRNA from 1 species
AUUGAACGCUGGCGGCAUGCUUUACACAUGCAAGUCGAACUGCAGCACGGACUUCGGUCUGGUGGCGAGUGGCGAACGGGUGAGUAAUACAUCGGAACGUGCCCAGUUGUGGGGGAUAACUACUCGAAAGAGUAGCUAAUACCGCAUGAGAACUGAGGUUGAAAGCAGGGGAUCGUAAGACCUUGCGCAACUGGAGCGGCCGAUGGCAGAUUAGGUAGUUGGUGGGAUAAAAGCUUACCAAGCCGACGAUCUGUAGCGGGUCUGAGAGGACGACAAGCCACACUGGGACUGCGACACGGCCCAGCCUCCGACGGGAGGCAGCAGUGGGGAAUUUUGGACAAGGGGCGAAAGCCUGAUCCAGCAAUGCCGCGUGCAGGAUGAAGGCCUUCGGGUUGUAAACUGCUUUUGUACGGAACGAAAAGCUUCGGGCUAAUACCCUGGAGUCAUGACGGUACCGUAAGAAUAAGCACCGGCUAACUACGUGCCAGCAGCCGCAGUAAAAC